UUGCACAAAGAUAUACAAUGAUAAAAAAGGCAACAUCACUCUUCGUCGUUCUAAUAGUUGCUUUGCUCCUUUUGUCUCCUCUCUUCUCCAGACAAAUAGAAGCAAUAUCCACCAAACAAACAAAGCAUCGAAAGCUCGGAAAUGGAGAAGAAAAGGAAAUUAGGAGGAAUAAAUUGGUUAUCCAACUAAAAGCGAAAGUGAAGCGAAGCAACUCCAGAAGGGGACCCCAAAAGAAGAAUCCUCCAAAGAAGCCACCUUGCAAGCCCUCGACUCAUCCUCAUUAAGGGUUUUUUCCCGCGUGUUCGUAAUUAAACAACGAAAUGUUCGUAUGCAAAUGAGAUUUCAGUAAAAGAGCUGGCAAUUAGUCAAUA